AUGUGCAACCCCACUACUUUCUCUCUCUAAAAGUUUUAUUUUCUCUCUCUAUGAAUUUUCUCUCUCUAUAAUAUUUUUUCUCUCUAAAAUUAUUUUUCUUUAUGAAAUUAUCUCUUUAAGAUUGAUCAAGUUAAGAGCCUUCUUUCAAUGGUUCAGAUUUGAUCUUAGCAAAAAGAGUCUGGAUCCAUGAUUGUUGGACAACGUGCUGG
rnacentral:lncRNA from 1 species